UGAGUCACUUUUUUACAAUAACUUCUAUAAUAACUUUAGCUAUAUGAUUAUUAAUUUUGUUAUUCAUUCAUACACUGACGAAGUAUUGUUUAAAUUCAGGGUUUUGUUCUCUGGUCCAACUGAUGAUCAAAUUGGGUUUCACUGGAUUUGUUUUUGUGAAUUUACCGAGGUUUUUCAUUUAAUGGUUCUUUCUGCAAUUCUGACCGUUGUCUCCUGGUUUUUUCAUCAAGUAGAACUAGACAAGGAUUUUGAAGAUGGAUUCAAGUGCUGUUCUAGAGUAACAGAGAAUUAAGUUAAUAAUAAGAUACUUAACAAAAAUCAGAUCAGUCACAUUUUCACGAUAAUUUCUCUAAUUUCUUUGAGUAUAUGAUGAUAAAUGGGGUUUCAACGGAUUCUGUUUUUGUGAAUUCUCUGGGUGUUUUUAUUGAAUCUCUAAGUUUUCGGAUUCAACAAUUAUGUUCUCUCUUGUUUCUAUAAUUUCUUUAUCUUUACAAUAGUGUUCUUUGUUGGUUCAUUGGGAUGAAUCUUGUAAGUUAUUUUCUG
rnacentral:lncRNA from 1 species